rnacentral:piRNA from 1 species
UGAGAUGUAAACAUUAUGUGUGUGCUACAU